rnacentral:rRNA from 1 species
CAAUGGAGGGACGCAGAAGGAUAGAAGAAGCGUGCGAUUGGUUGUGCACGUCCAAGCAGUUAGGCUGAUAAGUAGGCAAAUCCGCUUAUCAUAAAGGCUGAGCUGUGAUGGGGAAGCUCCUUAUGGAGCGAAGUCUUUGAUUCCCCGCUGCCAAGAAAAGCUUCUAGCGAGAUAAAAGGUGCCUGUACCGCAAACCGACACAGGUAGGCGAGGAGAGAAUCCUAAGGUGUGCGAGAGAACUCUGGUUAAGGAACUCGGCAAAAUGACCCCGUAACUUCGGGAGAAGGGGUGCUUUCUUAACGGAAAGCCGCAGUGAAUAGGCCCAAGCGACUGUUUAGCAAAAACACAGCUCUCUGCGAAGCCGUAAGGCGAAGUAUAGGGGGUGACACCUGCCCGGUGCUGGAAGGUUAAGGAGAGGGGUUAGCGUAAGCGAAGCUCUGAACUGAAGCCCCAGUAAACGGCGGCCGUAACUAUAACGGUCCUAAGGUAGCGAAAUUCCUUGUCGGGUAAGUUCCGACCCGCACGAAAGGUGUAACGAUUUGGGCACUGUCUCAACCAGAGACUCGGUGAAAUUAUAGUACCUGUGAAGAUGCAGGUUACCCGCGACAGGACGGAAAGACCCCGUGGAGCUUUACUGUAGCCUGAUAUUGAAUUUUGGUACAGUUUGUACAGGAUAGGCGGGAGCCAUUGAAACCGGAGCGCUAGCUUCGGUGGAGGCGCUGGUGGGAUACCGCCCUGACUGUAUUGAAAUUCUAACCUACGGGUCUUAUCGACCCGGGAGACAGUGUCAGGUGGGCAGUUUGACUGGGGCGGUCGCCUCCUAAAGUGUAACGGAGGCGCCCAAAGGUUCCCUCAGAAUGGUUGGAAAUCAUUCGUAGAGUGCAAAGGCAUAAGGGAGCUUGACUGCGAGACCUACAAGUCGAGCAGGGACGAAAGUCGGGCUUAGUGAUCCGGUGGUUCCGCAUGGAAGGGCCAUCGCUCAACGGAUAAAAGCUACCCCGGGGAUAACAGGCUUAUCUCCCCCAAGAGUCCACAUCGACGGGGAGGUUUGGCACCUCGAUGUCGGCUCAUCGCAUCCUGGGGCUGUAGUCGGUCCCAAGGGUUGGGCUGUUCGCCCAUUAAAGCGGUACGCGAGCUGGGUUCAGAACGUCGUGAGACAGUUCGGUCCCUAUCCGUCGUGGGCGUAGGAAAUUUGAGAGGAGCUGUCCUUAGUACGAGAGGACCGGGAUGGACGCACCGCUGGUGUACCAGUUGUUCUGCCAAGGGCAUAGCUGGGUAGCUAUGUGCGGAAGGGAUAAGUGCUGAAAGCAUCUAAGCAUGAAGCCCCCCUCAAGAUGAGAUUUCCCAUAGCGUAAGCUAGUAAGAUCCCUGAAAGAUGAUCAGGUUGAUAGGUUCGAGGUGGAAGCAUGGUGACAUGUGGAGCUGACGAAUACUAAUAGAUCGAGGACUUAACCAU